rnacentral:rRNA from 1 species
GGGUGCGAUCAUACCAGCACUAAUGCACCGGAUCCCAUCAGAACUCUGCAGUUAAACGUGCUUGGGCGAGAGUAGUACUAGGAUGGGUGACCUCCUGGGAAGUCCUCGUGUUGCACCCC